UACGUAGGGGGCUAGCGUUGUCCGGAAUCAUUGGGCGUAAAGCGCGCGUAGGCGGCCAGAUAAGUCCGGUGUGAAAGUCACAGGCUCAACCUGUGAAUGCCGCUGGAAACUGUCUGGCUUGAGUCCGGAAGGGGCGAGUGGAAUUCCCGGUGUAGCGGUGAAAUGCGCAGAUAUCGGGAGGAACACCGGUGGCGAAGGCGGUUCUCUGGGCCUUACCUGACGCUGAGGAGCGAAAGCGUGGGGAGCGAACAGG
rnacentral:rRNA from 1 species